AGGAAAACCUCCACAUUUCUCCAUGCAAACUCAUUGCCAAGUAACCUAGCAAAUGAGUGACGACACUCAGGUCUGUAGCUGCCAUUUUCCAUUGGGAAAGAUAAAUGGCCCUGUAUUUACCAGAAAAGGUAGCUCAUCUACCAUGGCAGAAGAGGACGAUCCAGACUGUUGAUUGAGAAACAAGAACAAACCAUGAGGCAUGAGGAUUGGGUGUUGAGGAACCACUUGUCACAUUGUAUAAGUCCAACAGGAGUGCAUCCCUCACGCCAUCCGGUGCAUGGACAUCCUGUGCAAGUGAGAUCCGAGCGCGAGCAUCCAGUUGUAGACUCUACAGCACAUCAAGCCUGUGGACAGACAGCAAGGAGAUCUGCUGGAAGUGAUGUACCCUCUCUCUCACUCUGGGGGGUACUGACAGGAGGAACAAUAUGAGUCUGUCAGAGGUCGACACGCUGGAUGGGGAGGGUGAUGGAGGCUUUGGUGGUCCUCACAAUGAAGAAGCAGGUGUCCCUUCCAGUGAUGUGGGGCUGACCUUGGACCUGGUGCCAGUAAGGAUGGUCUUCAUGGAGACCGUAAAACCCUCCCUUGAUAUAGAAAGCCUUUGGCUUCACUGCCUCUUCAAUGGUAAGAUCCAUAGGGGCACAUGACCUCCACCACUGCUGUGGUGACCACCUGACCAUCUGAUGAGGCACCCAGGGUCCCAGACCCCGUGACCCAAAGCCCUGACUUCUGCAAAUCCAUCCCUGUAGCAAUUUUGAAUGCCUUGAUGCCCUCCUCUUCAUUAUCUGUGCCCCACUUUACAGACAACACCCCAUCCAAAGACUGAUCUGAGGACCUUUUUUAGCAGCGACGGAGUAACGCGCUUGGCCCUAACCAGUGCUCCAUAAUUGCUGGUCGUCAACCACUCUCUCAUUGUGUGCCAUUUGGGGUUGGUGCGCUGUCCAACCAUUGCCUGACGUAUAGCCUCAUGCUGCUCCAACGAGAGCUCCAUGCCAGCCAGGAUGCCUACAUGACCCAGGGGCAUUUAUUUUUUUAACAAUGUCCGGUACAGACAGGGAGGGUAGAGGUUGUUCUUGCUUAGGUUCAGGGAGACAUGCUAGCAACUGAACCUGCCCCUGAGAUGGUUAGGUACUGAAGAUCCUCCUCUGUGGGCUCUCGGGACAGAGGGUUAUAGUCUUCAGCCGGGUACAGAUCCUCUACUGACUGCACCUGGUUGGGAAUGGCUGGCUUCCCCCACCUGCAUUCCACAUCAGUAUGUCCGAUAUUGUGAACUGCCAAAAUAGCUGCUAAAAUAGCUACAUGGCUAAACUGAUGAGCUCCAUGAAGGCAUUCCCAUGUGGUAGAGAAUCCCCUGGUCACCUAUAGAGACUUGCCAAGAGGAAGGAUGUUGAGUGCCACAUCCCAACCAAUAUGACUUUGAACACCUUAAGGCAUUUGUUGUAAGAAAUGUGUUUAUAUAAAUCAAGUUUGUUUUGAUUGGUGACAUUACAACUAGAAUAUUUAAUAAACUGUCCUUUUCACGAGGACAAGGGACCUAUAAAUCAAGACUGUGCGAAUGCAACAUGCACUCCAAAUAAAUACUGUGCCUUUGAAGAUUUGUCUCUGGGCAUGCAACUACUAUACAGACUGGAUGUCUAAACAAAGUCAAUUCUGAAUGUCAACAGAUUUUUUUUGAUUCGUUCUCUUCAAUGACAACAUUCUACGACGGAGUUAUCACUGAUCUAAAUCUGGUAUCGGGGAUAAUCUGGUUAAUGAUUAUAUCAUUGAUUUAAGUGGCUCUUUCCUUGUAGGAUGUUGACAGCUGUACAUUACACAUUGUAUUGCUAAGAUGCUCAAACUUAACUGGGCUCCUGAGUGGCUUAGCGGUCAAAGGCACUGAAUCUACAUUAGCUCAGGAAGUGUCCUAGUUCAGUUAAAUGUGCAAUGCAAAACACCUCUGUGGGAAUCUGUGUUAGAAUGGCACACAAUACGUGUAUCUUUUGUAUUUGUAAAAUAACCAAAACAAAGCUCUGGCUCUAUGGUGAGACCAAAACAAAGCUCUGGCUCUAUGGGGAGACCAAAACAAAGCUCUGGCUCUAUGGGGAGACCAAAACAAAGCUCUGGUUCUAUGGGGAGACCAAACCACAGCUCUGGCUCUAUGGGGAGACCAAACCACAGCUCUGGCUCUAUGGGGAGACCAAAACAAAGCUCUGGCUCUAUGGGGAGACUAAAACAAAGCUCUGGCUCUAUGGGGAGACCAAAACAAAGCUCUGGCUCUAUAGGGAGACCAAAACAAAGCUCUGGUUCUAUAGGGAGACCAAAACAAUGCUCUGGUUCUAUGGGGAGACCAAAACAAAGCUCUGGUUCUAUGGGGAGACCAAACCACAGCUCUGGCUCUAUGGGGAGACUAAAACAAAGCUCUGGCUCUAUGGGGAGACCAAAACAAAGCUCUGGCUCUAUGGGGAGACCAAAACAAAGCUCUGGUUCUAUGGGGAGACCAAAACAAAGCUCUGGUUCUAUGGGGAGACCAAAACAAAGCUCUGGUUCUAUGGGGAGACCAAAACAAAGCUCUGGUUCUAUGGGGAGACCAAAACAAAGCUCUGGUUCUAUGGGGAGACCAAAACAAAGCUCUGGUUCUAUGGGGAGACCAAACCACAGCUCUGGCUCUAUGGGGAGACCAAAACAAUGCUCUGGUUCUAUGGGGAGACCAAACCACAGCUCUGGCUCUAUGGGGAGACCAAAACAAUGCUCUGGCUCUAUGGGGAGACCAAAACAAAGCUCUGGCUCUAUGGGGAGACUAAAACAAAGCUCUGGCUCUAUGGGGAGACCAAAACAAAGCUCUGGCUCUAUGGGGAGACUAAAACAAAGCUCUGGUUCUAUGGGGAGACCAAAACAAAGCUCUGGCUCUAUGGGGAGACCAAAACAAAGCUCUGGCUCUAUGGGGAGACCAAAACAAAGCUCUGGCUCUAUGGGGAGACCAAAACAAAGCUCUGGCUCUAUGGGUAGACCAAAACAAAGCUCUGGCUGUAUGGGGAGACCAAAACAAAGCUCUGGCUCUAUGGGGAGACCAAACCACAGCUCUGGCUCUAUGGGGAGACCAAAACAAAGCUCUGGCUCUAUGGGGAGACCAAAACAAUGCUCUGGUUCUAUGGGGAGACCAAAACAAUGCUCUGGUUCUAUGGGGAGACCAAACCACAGCUCUGGCUCUAUGGGGAGACCAAAACAAAGCUCUGGCUCUAUGGGGAGACUAAAACAAAGCUCUGGCUCUAUGGGGAGACCAAAACAAAGCUCUGGCUCUAUGGGGAGACCAAAACAAAGCUCUGGCUCUAUGGGGAGACCAAAACAAAGCUCUGGCUCUAUGGGGAGACCAAAACAAAGCUCUGGCUCUAUGGGGAGACCAAAACAAAGCUCUGGCUCUAUGGGGAGACCAAAACAAAGCUCUGGCUCUAUGGGUAGACCAAAACAAAGCUCUGGCUGUAUGGGGAGACCAAAACAAAGCUCUGGCUCUAUGGGGAGACCAAACCACAGCUCUGGCUCUAUGGGGAGACCAAAACAAAGCUCUGGCUCUAUGGGGAGACCAAAACAAAGCUCUGGCUCUAUGGGGAGACCUGUGAUAGAUGGGAAGACCCUCUUGAUUUGUUUUAGUAACUGAACCAAUCAUGAGGGAGUCUUCAUCAAAAACACACUCUUAAAAAAUUGAUUGGCUGAUAAGUAACUACAUUUGACCUCCUUACUCAGCUCAUUCUUUGCUGCAAAAAUAUGUAUCUGCUCAUUUUGAACAAAGGCUAACUUGAACAAACUAUGAAUUGUAUCAUCCUUUUUAUCAAGCCAAUACAUAAACUCAACAAAAAAAGAAACAUCCUCUCACUGUCAACUGUGUUUAUUUUCAGCAAACUUAACGUGGAAAUAUUUGUAUGAACAUAAGAUAGAACAACUGAGACAUAAACUGAACAAGUUCGACAGACAUGUGACUAACAGAAAUGUAAUAAUGUGUCCCUGAACAAUGUGGGGGUCAAAAUCAAAAGUAACAGUCAGUAUCUGGUGUGGCCACCAGCUGCAUUAAGUACUGCAGUGCAUCUCCUCCUCAUGGACUGCACCAGAUUUGCCAGUUCUUGCUGUGUGAUGUUACCCCACUCUUCCACCAAGGCACCUGCAAGUUUACAGACAUUUCUGGGGGGGGAAUGGCCCUCACCCUCAGAUCCAACCGGUCCUAGAUGUGCUCAAUGGAAUUGAGAUCCAGGCUCUUCACUGGCCAUGGCAGAACACUGACAUUCCUGUCUUGCAGGAAAUCACGCACAGAACGAGCAGUAUGGCUGGUGGCAUUGUCAUGCUGGAGGGUCAUGUCAGGAUGAGCCUGCAGGAAGGGUACCACAUGAGGGAGGAGGAUGUCUUCCCUGUAACGCACAGAGUUGAGAUUGCCUGCAAUGACAACAAGCU